CCUGUCGUGGCUUAGUGAUAAAAGCAUUGGUAUGUAAAGGCAAAGGUCUCGGGUUCGAUUCCCGACGAGGGUG
rnacentral:tRNA from 1 species